ensembl:lncRNA
GUUUAAGCGCACACUCUUCCUUAUGAUUGCAGCAGACUUAUGUUUAAAGGAUCUAUUUUUUCUCAACAGCAGAAAAUGAUUCUCCAUGUGAUUUUGUCUCCAGAAGAUAUUAGAAAAGUUUGUCUUGAUUAUCAGUCACAAACCUUAGAAGUCCUUCAAUCAACAUUGAGAAGCAAGCUAAAUAUACAAGGUGUGUUUACCCUUCAGUAUGAAGACUCUGAUUUUGGGAACACCUUAUGCAGUCUCCCAAGUAUCAGUGACCUCCCACCUGAAAAGGCAAUACCUAAAGUCAUUUUAAGGGCACCAUCAACUGAAUAUAGCUUGUCAGACUGGACAUUAGACACAGCGAAUUUAUCAUCAUCAUCAUCUGGGUCGAGUGUCAACAGCAGCAAAUUUGGAUCAACUGCAGAAAGUAGCCGCUUGCAACAAUGGUCUGUCAAUUUCAUCAUUCCAAGCUUUUCA